AUUUGGUUACUUUUUGUUAGGUAUUUUCAAACUAAUCUUAAAACUGUAUUCUGCUGCUGCUAAUAAACUACAUCCCUCUAUGUUGCUGUCUAUUUAAACAUUAUUUUAUCCAUUGUAAAUUAACAUGGAAAGCAGUGCCAUACUCAAAACAUUCUGAUCCUGGUAUAAAUCCUGCUAUAAAUUAAUUUGACUUCCUGGUACUCUCAUAUGUACUUGUUAUUUUCAGAACCUGUUAUAUGGAAAGAAGUAGUUCUUGAAAUAGUACUAUUAUGGUAAAUAGUCAGAAUUGCUAAGUACAUAUAAUAUACUUUGCAUGUUCAAGGCAUUUUAUGUACACUGACUUAUUUGCUAUUAGACAUGCUUGUUUUUAACAUCUUUUCUAAAAAAGGAAAUCAUUUAACCUCCCCCCCAGCGUUCUGACAUUCAGCUGCUUAAAAGCAGCAAGAUGAUACACUUCUACACAAGCAUUUUACUGAGUGAGUCAAAGCUGAAUCCAUUCUUCAAGUUUGCAACGUGCCUUGGCUGCAGUUGGUGCGUAAAAGCACAUUUGGUUCCUGAGUCAUAUAAUAACGGACUAGCUUUCUGAGCUGGGGAUCCAUCUGCACUGUUUGCAUCAAUAGCUCUUUUCCCUCUUAAUGUGUAGGAGGACUAUCAACUGAGAGCACCCUAAAUAAGCCUGCUCCCACCUGUUGUUUCUGGCUGUAGGUUUUAAGAACUGAUGAAUCCAAGUGAAGUGUAGCUGUGAAGGAAAUGCAGUCCCUCCAUUCAUGAGAAAUUUCAAAUUUUACCAAUGGCUUCUAUUAUGCUGAAUGCUGCUCAUACAUUCCUUCACUGAACUGCUUGCUGCCUUAGGCCAUCUAACACCAGCUUGCUGACUUGCUGACUGUGUAUAUGGAUAUAUGGAUGGGGGCAAGAGAGGAAAAAAAGAGGAAACAAACAGAGACAACUGCAAGAUAUGAGGCAAUAGUACAAAGAUAUGAUGAACAUGAAUAAGAAUCAACAAGUGAUGUAAGCAUGAAAUCAGCUAGAAUCUAAAUAAGGAAAGGUAGAAUUUAAUUGGAUGACAGCAAAUGAAGGGACUGAAAAGUAUAAAAGAAGAGUUUUGUGAACAGUGACUUGGGUACCGGGAACUGAAGACACCACUGUGCACAUAUGCAGGAGUCCCCUUGCCUGAUGACUGCACCUGGCCAGCAAUGUCACUGAGCAAGGCUAUUCAUCCCACAUGUAAUGUUUUGUGCUGCUUUGUUUUGUUUAAUCUGUCAAUAAAUCAGUGUGUCCC